rnacentral:sRNA from 6 species
AUAUCUCUCUGUACGGGAAGGAUGAGAAGCUUCGACUAAGGUUCGAUUCGAGCGUCAGCGAGAAAGCGUUGCCGCA